GGAUAUAUGGUAGAGUCUGGUUUAAUACGACCGUCUUGAAAACGGUUAAACAUAGUAAUGUUUCAUGAGUUCGAAUCUCAUUGUAUCCG
rnacentral:tRNA from 1 species